rnacentral:rRNA from 1 species
GGAUGCGAUCAUACCAGCACUAAUGCACCGGAUCCCAUCAGAACUCCGAAGUUAAGCGUGCUUGGCGAGAGUAGUACUAGGAUGGGUGACCCCUGUAGUACUACAUCCCCACGGUGCCAACC